rnacentral:rRNA from 1 species
AUUGAACGCUGGCGGCAGGCCUAACACAUGCAAGUCGAGCGGAGCGCCGGACGGGUGAGUGAUGCCUAUGACUGUGCCUCGUACUGGUGGAUAACGUCCGGAAACGGGCGCUAAUGCCGCAUACUCUCGGAUUCGCCUGGGUCGGAUUAGCUAGUUGUGGGGGGAAAGGCCUACAAAGGCGACGACCCGUAACUCGUCUGGGUGGAUGAUCAGUCACACUGGAACUGAGAAAAGGUCCAGACUCCUACGGGAGGGAGCAGUGGGGAAUAUUGGACAAUGGGAGAAAGCCUGAUCGAGCCAUGCCGGGUUUGUGAAGAAGGUCUUCGGAUUGGAAAGCACUUUAAGUUGGGAGGCGUUACCAACAGAAUAAGCACCCGCUAAAUUCGUUCCAGGAGCCGCGGUAAUAC